UACGCAGAAGAGGAUGGUCUUUGCCAGCUG
rnacentral:piRNA from 1 species